AACGAACGCUGGCGGCAUGCCUAACACAUGCAAGUCGAACGAUGCCUUCGGGCAUAGUGGCGCACGGGUGCGUAACGCGUGGGGAUCUGCCUUUCGGUUCGGAAUAACUCAGGGAAACUUGAGCUAAUACCGGAUAACGUCGCAAGACCAAAGAUUUAUCACCGAAAGAUGAGCCCGCGUAGGAUUAGCUAGUUGGUGAGGUAAAGGCUCACCAAGGCGACGAUCCUUAGCUGGUCUGAGAGGAUGAUCAGCCACACUGGGACUGAGACACGGCCCAGACUCCUACGGGAGGCAGCAGUGGGGAAUAUUGGACAAUGGGCGAAAGCCUGAUCCAGCAAUGCCGCGUGAAUGAUGAAGGCCUUAGGGUUGUAAAGCUCUUUUACCCGGGAAGAUAAUGACGGUACCGGGAGAAUAAGCCCCGGCUAACUCCGUG
rnacentral:rRNA from 1 species